rfam:Tetranychus urticae London genomic scaffold, scaffold_7
GCAGUCGUGGCCGAGUGGUUAAGGCGAUGGAUUAGAAAUCCAUUGGGAUUUAUCCCGCACAGGUUCGAAUCCUGUCGACUGCG